UAGGGAAUCUUCCGCAAUGGACGCAAGUCUGACGGAGCAACGCCGCGUGAGUGAAGAAGGAUUUCGGUUCGUAAAACUCUGUUGUUAGAGAAGAACAGCGCAUAGAGUAACUGUUAUGCGUGUGACGGUACCUAAUCAGAAAGCCACGGCUAACUACGUGCCAGCAGCCGCGGUAAUACGUAGGUGGCAAGCGUUAUCCGGAAUUAUUGGGCGUAAAGCGCGCGUAGGCGGUUUUUUAAGUCUGAUGUGAAAGCCCACGGCUCAACCGUGGAGGGUCAUUGGAAACUGGAAAACUUGAGUGCAGAAGAGGAAAGUGGAAUUCCAUGUGUAGCGGUGAAAUGCGCAGAGAUAUGGAGGAACACCAGUGGCGAAGGCGACUUUCUGGUCUGUAACUGACGCUGAUGUGCGAAAGCGUGGGGAUCAAACAGG
rnacentral:rRNA from 1 species